rnacentral:rRNA from 1 species
GACAGAGGGUGCAAACGUUUGUUCGGAAUUACUGGGCGUAAAGCGAGUGUAGGCGGUUUGGUAAGUCGGAUGUGAAAGCCCCGGGCUCAACCCGGGAAGUGCACUCGAUACUGCCAAGCUAGAGUAUCGGAGAGGUUGGUGGAAUUCUCGGUGUAGAGGUGAAAUUCGUAGAUAUCGAGAGGAACACCGGUGGCGAAGGCGGCCAACUGGACGAAUACUG